AACGAACGCUGGCGGCAGGCCUAACACAUGCAAGUCGAGCGGACCUUUCGGGGUCAGCGGCGGACGGGUGAGUAACGCGUGGGAAUAUGCCCUUCUCUACGGAAUAGUCCUGGGAAACUGGGGGUAAUACCGUAUACGCCCUUUGGGGGAAAGAUUUAUCGGGGAAGGAUUAGCCCGCGUUGGAUUAGGUAGUUGGUGGGGUAAUAGCCUACCAAGCCGACGAUCCAUAGCUGGUUUGAGAGGAUGAUCAGCCACACUGGGACUGAGACACGGCCCAGACUCCUACGGGAGGCAGCAGUGGGGAAUCUUAGACAAUGGGGGCAACCCUGAUCUAGCCAUGCCGCGUGAGUGAUGAAGGCCUUAGGGUUGUAAAGCUCUUUCAGCUGGGAAGAUAAUGACGGUACCAGCAGAAGAAGCCCCGGCUAACUCCGUG
rnacentral:rRNA from 1 species